AACGAACGCUGGCGGCAUGCCUAACACAUGCAAGUCGAACGAGACCUUCGGGUCUAUUGGCGCACGUGUGCGUACCGCGUGGGAACUUGCCCUUAGGUUCCGAAUACCUCCCCGAGAGGGGUGCUAAUACCGGAUAAUGUCUUCGGACCAAAGAUUUAUCGCCUUUGGAUGGGCCCGCGUUGGAUUAGCUAGUUGGUAGGGUAAAAGCCUACCAAGGCGACGAUCCAUAGCUGGUCUGAGAGGAGGACCAGCCACACUGGGACUGAGACACGGCCCAGACUCGUACGGAAGGGAGCAGUGGGGAAUAUUGGGCAAGGGGCGAAAGCCUGAUACAGCAAUGCCGCGGGAGUGAUGAAGGCCUUAGGGUUGUAAAGCUCUUUUAGCCGGGAUGAUAAUGACAGUACCGGGAGAAUAAGCUCCGGCUAACUACGUG
rnacentral:rRNA from 1 species